AAGCUCCAAUAGAAUGAAAGAUAGUAUUAAUAAAUUUGUGUAAUAACUUGUCAAAUGUGGUAUUUUAUUUGUUCAUGUGGUAUUUUGUUGUAUUCUUUCAGCUCUUUGUUAUGAAUAGUAACAAAACAAUAUCCACAGGGAAUUUAUAGAACCUUGAGCAUGGUCUUUUCAAGAAAAUUAACACACAAACUUACUGUAAGUAACAUGAAACUAACAAAAUUGGUUAUUAGCAAAAAGAAACUCUGCCCAGUGACAAACCAAACACAUGGUAUUUUUUUUUUAAUUUAACAAAAUACAGCUUUCACUAUCAGUGUAAUGUUAGAUCUAUUAAUAUACUAUUACCAUUAGCACAGCACUAUAAUUUAGUUAUUUAGGUAGUUAUUAUAAACCAAUUAAGCAUUCUAGAAUUUUUGUUUACCACAGUUUAUUAUUAUUAUAUUAAUUGUGUUGAUAGUUAACACAUUUUAACUACCAAUAAAGACAAAAUUAAACACUUUCAGUAAACACUACAGCACUGUAUCAUUUUCUCAGAUAAGAUCAAUUAUUAUAUUAGAUUUAAUUGAAUUUAAAAUUUUAAUACUUUGAAUAACAACACAAUGAUCACAUAAUCUAUAAAUUAAACAGAAAUCUUAGUAAAAUCAUGCAUGAUUAAUGGUAAUAAGCCAGUUAAAUAAAAAAAAAACAGUGCCACAGGUUUGAUUAAAUACCAUAGAAAUGAGUAAUGUUGCUAGAAAAUGUGAAAAUCCAUUGAAUUAUUUAUCCAUUAUAUUAUUUGCUAGGAAAAGUUGCAAACUCACUAUACUCAACUAUUUACACAUUUAGAAUACAUCAAAUGAGGUGGUGGCCUAGAUUUUUUCAUUAGUCAAUACACUGUGUACCUACUACCUACUCAGAAACAACAGCUAUUUUAAUCUGAAUACUUGUUCAAUGCAGGUACUAAAAAAAUUAUUCAAAGAAAAAUAUAUUAUAUAGUGAAGAAAAGUUAUUGUUACCCAACAUUUUAAAAUAUAAAAAUAAUAUUAAACUAUGAAUAUCACCAGAUUCUUUUCUCUGCAUUACCAACUUGUUUGUUGUUAUACAGAAGUGUGGUUUUGUUAUGAUUCAUAGCACAUUAAACUGUAUCAAAAUUAAUUCAGUGAAUUCAUUGAUAUAUUUAUUUACUGUCUGUAAUUCUAAACUAUUUAAAAUAAGCACAACAUAAGUUCAUAGAUUAAAGUACCCAGAAAAUGAUUAAGUAUACAUAAGAAUUACCACAUUUCUGUGGGAAAACAAAUGCCAUGAAAUAAAUCUAUAAUUUAAUUUUUAUCUUCUGUAUAGAAAUUAGAAAGCAAUAUUAUAAUGUAAAUUAAAUUGUACUCACAUGGUGUUUUUUCACAUAACAAUUAUUGUGAAAUAAAGAAAUGUUCAAAAUUUACCCAUAUGGUAUUUUUCAACAUUUGUUAUUUAACUAGCUUUAUUAAACAUAGCAUAGCUUUAUUUAACAUAGCUUUAUUAAAGGUAUCUAAUCCUAGCAAUGAGCAUAUUGAUUGAUAGACAGGCCCAUGGUUGUAUAUUAUGAUGAAUGAAAUACUGGUUGAUUGGUAGAGAAUGCCUAGGUCACACACCUGAGUAAUAAGUAGUGUUAAAUAAAUAAUAUAUAAUGUAAUAAUCUAUCUAAAUACCUUGCACAGCAGCAGACAAUUAAGAGCUGAAGAUAUAAUGAUGAUGAUGAUGAUGAUGAUGAAUGUUCCAAAGGUUGUUCUGUGGUCUACACUUGAUGAGAACUCAGAUGGGAAUGGCAAAUCCAAACAACAAACUGUUGUUGUUGCACACUAUUCUUCUAUACCAUAGAGGUGAGUGGGUAAGGAUGUGUGUGAGCUAUCGCGGUUCCGUGGGCGGGGCAAAGGGCCAGGGAUAGUGGUGAACGACCGCGCUGUCGCGGUGUCCGCCGUCCGGUGCGACGGGCGCGCCGCGCCGACUCCUCGCUAAUAUGGAAUAAGCUUGAAAAUGAUUAUGUAUGUGGAAACCCGAUGCAACUACAUCGACGUGUCAUACAUAAUAAAUAGGAAGGCGAGGGGCUUGUGCUACAAGGCCGCAGGUCGACAACCCGGCGGUGCUGCAGCGGCCACGUGCGAAACCAGCUCACCUCGACAACAACGCAGCGAACUGAGGACUGUGGAACUGGCCAGUAACAAACUUCCAAUAUCUAUUUUUGUUAUACCUCAUAAUGUUUCAUUUUAUUUGUUAUUAUAAUUUUUCCCAUAGUAAAUAUAAUUUACACUUUAAUUGGAUCUAAAGCUGUAAAAAUUAACCUAUCUACCAAAGAUCCUUUGUUUUUUUUAAGUCAAAUAUUUCUAUUCUAAGUGCAUUGUAACUUGUUAUUUGAAAGCAGUAUUCAUUCUUCUGAUAUCAUAAAAAAAAUGGAUGAAUGAAAAAAUAUUGUUUACGAUCAAUCAGCUGUUCUUUUGAACUGGGGUAACUCAGUGAACACUGAACACAGGUAGAACAUCCGGCCCCUUAGAAGAAAAAAAUAAGCAAGUGCAAGUUUUUGUCUUGGACGAAGGUUUUGCAAAGUUAAUAAAAGUUUUGAAAAGACUACUCUUCAAUAGACCAACUUACAUGUAUACGAUGCACAGAACAAAAUUGGCCAGAGUGCCAGCCAUGAGCCAGGUGAUGAUCAUGUUUAUAGUUUAACGAGCACAAACGUCGAUUUAUUGUAAAGCGUAGGUGUAGUCUAUAAAACAACUUUUUGGUAUUUUCACUAGUAACUUAACUGUAACUUUUUGGUAUUGUAUUUUAACUGCAAGCUCAAAGUUCAGUCUAACUCGUAACAAGAAUGUAACUAAAUCAAUGUGCAAGUUGAAUUACGUAGGGUGCAUGGUGUGCACCCUAGGGGAGCCAACAGCCGUCCCACAGUGGCGCCCGCGCCCCCGCGACCGACCAAACAUACGCGACUUCUCUGGCUCCCUAGCGGUUCAACGACCCUUCAACAAACCCCCUGUAAAACCUAUAGCAAGCCAGACAGAUCAACUCCCGUUCAUAAACAAUCGAUAGGCGCCGCAGACAGACAGACAGGUACAGUACAGACCUAUAUGUAUGUAGCUGCAUUCAAUUUGAUAUGCUCGAGCUAGACGGGUUUUGGUAGGUAGCUGUAUAUUUAUUGGAUGCUGAGCCAGAGGCAGACGAAAAUUAAUCAACUUUGGUAUCAGAUUUCAGGCUAAAUAGCGAAAUGUACUUAUUUUAAUAAGAGCGCAAUGUGAUACGAUUAGAGUUUACAUUUUUUAAUUUUUGUAUGUAUAAAUAUAAUUUGUUUUACUUAUUUAAUAUCUUGUGAAUCUGAUGAUAUUUCAUACUUCAAAUCACCCUUAUUUUUCGUUUAAAAGUUACGAUGCAAGUCGUUAUUAUCAUUUAGAUACGAAAUGCAUUGCUGGCGUGGCGAUGUUAGAAGUUGAAAUUCAGUAGGUCGGUUGCAUGCGUAUAAAAAGUUGUGACUAUUUCUGUACAGCCAGUUGCCGCCACGGACACACUAUACGAGAAAUAAAACGGCGCCGUUUGCCAUGUCGCUGAGCGCUCCCAACAAGUUUGUGAGAAUGUGUGUCGCAAGCACUGUGGCUAUCCAUGUCCGCAUACAUCACUGUUACCAAGCUACCAGCUAUUUUACAAAGCGACGAUGUAAUGCAUAUGAAGCGUGAAGGUGCGGGAAUAAGGUAAGAUACGAAACUCGGUAAGCAGUUACUGCAAUGCCACGCGCGACUGAAAUAAACGACGACCAAUGAAAUUGAUUUGUGUAUGCAAUAUCUUGUAAAACGGAAAUAUUUCACAGAUUAAAAAGGUAGCCUACAUACAUGUGACCCACAUACAUACCCAAAUAAUAAUCUAUUCUGCUUUUCUCUAAAAGAAUGAUGUCCACGUGACUUUAAGUACCAAAGCGGAAUAAACAAUACAUUUUCAUAAUGUGAAUCUCAAUGUUUGUAGAAGAUCGUUUUGUAUAUCUGCUAUAAACAACAGUAAGGGCACCACAUUACACAGGUAUGCAGUUGUACAAUAUUUAUUGAAAUCCUCAUAAGAAUAUUUUUGUCACGCUGGAAUAUUAAACUUUAGGUAAUAUCAGCUAAACGGAGCACGAAAAAAGCGAGUGAUGCAGAGUGUAAUAUCUGAAAAACUAUAAAUAACGCUUUCUGUUCGAUACGAGCAGAGAAAGCUAUGGUGUUGCAACCGUGUUGGCCGACGUGUAGCCAAAAGGUUUCGUGACGACAAUCUGUGCCUCUUGCAUAAUUUUCCGCGUUCACCACGAUCACGAUCAACCUCUGCGCGGCUUAACAUCGAAUAUAAACGAUUUCUCCAGUUAAGAAAGUAAUAUCUGCUGCUCCAACUCAUUGACUGAACGACGAAUCCCCCGCAGAUUUUAUAUUUGUUUACUUUAUUU